rnacentral:lncRNA from 1 species
CGCGCACCUGUCGAAGUCUUAUAUGUAAGUUCGUGUUUGAGCCUGAACGAUUUUAUCAGUUAGACCAAAACGUGAUUUCAACAUCAGCAGGUGAUGUUGGACCCCAAAGGACACCACACCAGUUAUAACCAACAAGUGAUGUACGACCCUAAAGGACAGUGGCAAUGUGGAACACACACCAGUUAUAACCAACAAGUGAUGUACGACCCUAAAGGACAGUGGCAAUGUGGAACACACACCAGUUAUAACCAGCAAGUGAUGUACGACCCUAAAGGACAGUGGCAAUGUGGAACACACACCAGUUAUAACCAACAAGUGAUGUACGACCCUAAAGGACAGUGGCGAUGUGGAACACACAGCAGUUAUAACCAAGUGAUGUACGACCCUAAAGGACAGUGGCAAUGUGGAACACACACCAAUUAUAACCAACAAGUGAUGUACGACCCUAAAGGACACUGGCAAUGUGGAACACACACCAGUUAUAACCAAGUGAUGUACGACCCUAAAGGACAGUGGCAAUGUGGAACACACACCAAUUAUAACCAACAAGUGAUGUACGACCCUAAAGGACACUGGCAAUGUGGAACACACACCAGUUAUAACCAAGUGAUGUACGACCCUAAAGGACAGUGACAAUGUGGAACACACACCAGUUAUAACCAACAAGUGAUGUACGGCCCUAAAGGACAGUGGCAAUGUGGAACACAGAUCAGUUAUAACCAACAAGUGAUGUACGACCCCAAAGGACAGUGGCAAUGUGGAACACAUACCAGAGUAUCAAUAGAUGCUGCAAACAAGAUAUGACCACAGUGUAGCAGAAUGAUGCUCGUACAUUGGAAAUGUGAUUGUAUAUGGACUCUACCAAAUGUUGAUAAUUGACAGAAUAGAAUAGAAUAGAUCUUUAAUGAAACCCCAGCAUGAAAAUUACAUCGGCUAUUGGGUGUCAAACUAUGGUAAAUGCAAAACUAAAGUGAUGACCGGAAAGAUUUCCGCCUGUUACCCCAUUUUAUUGAUAUAUGUAUAGAGAGAACCUCACCCUAACCCUAAAACUAACCCUAACCCUAAAACUAACCCUGACCCUAAAACUAACCCUAACUCUAAAUUAACCCUAACCCUAAAACUAACCCUAACUCUAAAUUAACCCUAACCCUAAAACUAACAAUAGGGGGUAACAGUCGGAUAUUUUACCUCAAGAGUUAUUUGACCACCUAAUUUAUUCAUGACAUGACCUAUAUGGCUUGUUAUUAAAAUCUUAUUGCAAAUUUGGUCAACCCUCAAAUGUGACUGUCCUUCAUUCUGUCCUGGAUUCAAUUCUUCCUAAUGUUGGAGAUUGUGCUUGGGAUGGACAUGCCUCGACCUACAGAUGGAUACAAGCAUGAGAAAUCUGCUUUGGUUGAAGCAGCUAGACUGGAAAAUGUUUUUCAGGUCACAAGGUAAUUGGUUAGCUUAAGAGUUAACCUACUGUUACCGGUGGAUUAUUCCUAUCAAUUGCAAGCAACAGAUCCUUUAAGUACACUUUCCAAUGGGCUAGAUGGCAUGUGACACAGAGUUUUGUUAGCCACUUGUGGCACAUAGUUUAAUGUGUAUCUUCCUCAUAAGCUAUACGCCUUUUGAUUUACACCAAGAUAUGUUUUUCCUCAGACAGGAUAAUAAAUACCACAUCUUGUAUACAUAUUGACAUAAUACUGUUAGGCUACUCUUUCAGUUAGCACAAAGAAAUGUUCCUUCUCUGAGAGAAUAGAGGAUUUAGUUUGUUUUGGGUACACACAUGGUAACUGAACAGUGAUCUCAUAUUGAUGUUUCUUAGGACAUACAUGUAGCUGUUCCAUGCUGAAAGCCAGGUUGUCAUGGUACAAAAGAUAAGCAACAGUGGGCUCGGUUAGUAUGUGGAUGAAUGACCGCCUACCGCCACACCAGCUCUCAUUAUACUAAGUUGAGUAACAAUAUGCAUGUUGGUAAUUGUAAAUCUAUGACCAUUUGGUAAAGUCAAGAGAUGCAAACAUUAUCAAUGCCCCACCUCUAGUAUAUCAGAGGCUGUGGUAGUGCUGUUAUGUCGGUUGGAAAGUGGAUUUAAAAGAAAACCUCUGCUAGUAAUUUGUAAGAGAGAAAAACUUACUGUCAUCACACAGAUGACAGUAAGUUUUUCUCACACUAAGCCAUUAUCAUUUUUUGGACAGACAGGCCAGUCUAGGUCUGUGUCUAGGAUGGUGUCACAAGGAUCUGUUCCUCACCAAAUAUAGGUUCAGAUCUACUUUCUGUAUUGACUUAACAGUGUGUGUUAUCAACCAGCUUGUUUUACGGAGAAGAACUAGUUUGUAUUGACUUCACAGUGUGUGUUGUGAAUAUUUUCCUGUGGUAUGCAGUAAAGCAGAUAAAAUGUGUGGCAGUCUAGCAAAAAACCCAUCACAUGGUAAAAGGACUUACAUACACCUUUUUAUUAUUAACAACUACAUACACAUGUACCAUUCUGAGUUUGAAUUAACUAAAUAUUCCAUUUAGAACCAAAGAUAUGACAUUUUAAAGGUGAUACUAUUCGGAAAACAGAAGCUGAGAAAAUGGCAUCUAAAGUUUUAUCAAGUAAAAAAGUAAUGAUUUUAUCAUGUUUUAAUUAUUUUAACCAUGUUAAGUAUAUCCAAAUUAACUAAGAAAAUACAUAUUUUUUAUAUCAAAUGAGGCAUCAAUGAUACACAAAAAACUAAAAUUGGCAUGUAACAACUAAUUUAUUGAACAAAACUUCUUCUUUUUUAAGUCAGGUCAAAGCUAAACAAAACAGACAUAAUAAAAUUUAAAACAUGCAUUAUUAACAAUAUCAAGGCUGAAGUACAAGAACAAAAAAAAACAAAAAAACAACAACAACUUGCAUGCAUGUAAUACACUGCCUCUCAUUACUGUAGUGUCAUUCAUUUAUAAAUCCUGAAAUGUUUUGAUAACAUCUGUUGUCACUGUUACCAAUUUAUAUCCAUUGAAUGUUUUUAUAACACUGUCUCAGUCAUCAAUAAUUUCUAUACACUGGAUGUUUUAACAACAUUGUCGCUGUCAUCAAUAAUUAAUAUCCACUGAAUGUUUCUAUAACACUGUGGUAGUAGUCACUGUUUGCACAUCAGCGACCUCGUCUACCUCGACCUCUGCUACGCAUUACUUUCUUAACUUUCUGCGUGGUGGUUGAAUAUCAUGACUAUCUGAUAGGUUGUCCUCAUGUUGUGCAUUCCUGCCUGCCUUAGGAACACUGGGUAGUGGUGUUGUACUGUCUUUACAGUUCUCAGAAGUAAAUGGCCUGAUUCAUCAUAAAGGUACCACUGUUGUUUGGCAUCCAGACCUUUUGGAUUAAAACUGAAGGCAUUUUGUUCACAGAUGGUAAAUCUUUCUUUACCAAGUUCACUUCAGUAUGUUCAGAAUCUGCGAAUGCCUGCAUUUGAACAAUUAUUGAUUUGUGGGGGAAAUGAAAAUGGUGGUAUUUCUUAAUACCCACAAUAUUCUGAACGUAUGCCCCUAAAAAGUUGGUUCAAUCAAAUGUUGGUACAAUCACAUCACCACCUUCAUUGCCACACAGCUGUGUAACAUUCACAUGUGAAGAAUCAUACACAACAUUCGCAAUAUAUUUGAGACAAUCCACCUUUGUCUUUCGAAACGGCCAUUUCACAAGACCAAAGCACCAAUCACAACUAAAUUUGGUAUGGCCAGUCAAAAGAAAUGAUAUUGUUGUACUCUGAUGGCAUCCAGUGAGCACUCGACACAUCAAGUGCCACAUCAUGCAGGAAUUUUUGUUCUACCCAGUACAGUUGUCUGCAUGUAGAUGUAGAUGCAAUUCACCUAUAAUGGACACAACACAGUUUGCGCCUUUCCCAGUCACACAACUUUUCUCCAACAGAAAACUUAACUUGUUUAGGAAGUGCCUGGCAUGCUACUCCAAAGAGGCUGCAUUUCUGGGGACACUUAAGUAGAUAGGUCCCAGCUGUAACAAAUUAGAUGGAAAUGCUCUUGCUGAGCAAAAUGAAAACUAUAAUACAUCAGCUGCUGUGUCAUAGCCGCAACUGUCAUUGUUUACAUCCGUCUCGGAAACAUGUUCACUUUCACUGUUUACAUCAUUAUCACUCACUGCUCAAUUCAUCAUCAUUUAAGCGACAUGAUGUAAAGUAGUCACUCAUUAAUUCUUCUAAAACAAUUUCAGUUGCUAUAUUUCUCGUGUUGAGCGUUGUCAGUUGGUUCAAACAGUGAGCAAACUUUGCUUUCUUGUGACUGGUUUUGGUGCCACCAGCUUGUCUGUUCGCGGCCAUCAAACGAAAGAGCAAUGUUGUCUAAUACAAAGCCAGAUGUGUAUGUUUACGGUAUUUAGCUGUUUCCCAUAUGUCUUGCAAACAUUAUUAAGUCAAUAUUUCUAUGUAUAAUAAUAAAUAUUGGUCUAUAUUUUUAAAUGUUUACACUGAAGUCGAUCGAAAAUUUUCCUUGCUUUACACAAUUCGCAAUAGUAUUGUAAACAGUGUAUUUAUGCGCAGUAGUAAUCGGGUCAAAGGCCGUUUCACGACCUUUCCAGUGAUAUGCAACAUGUAUGGAUGCACAAUGAGAUAAAGGUAUUUAAAACUUGGUAAAAUUUUACUAUUUUAUGAACACUAAUUAGCAGAUUACAUUUAAUUACUCCAUAACUAAAACAAUCAAUAAACACAUGUUAUUAUAAACACAUGUUAUAAAUAUUCCUUAUAGAACAACAUACUUUAUUGGUUUUAUUAUGGUUUAAGAAAACGAUAUGACUUUAUUAUGCAUUUCUCCUGUAUCUCAAUUUUAGUCCCAGCUACUUCUGAUGGGUUUUCCUAGACCACCACACAAAUAUGUUUGUUAGGUUUAUACUCCUUUAAGAGUGGUCAUGGAUAUUCAUGACCAAAAUCAGUCUGCACAUGCUAAAUGUGUAUGUAAGGAGAAGCACCUGUCUGCAGAGUUCAUUCUUGUGACCGAACCAGUAACAGCCAAGUUUUCAGUAUUAAUUCAUUUAGAUAAAUAGAUAUUUUCCAAAGGUUUUCCAGAGUCUUUUGCUCACCGAGUUUUAUCUCUGGUUUUUUAACCUGAAAAUGGAAUUGUUAUCUGAAAAUAGAUUGAGUUUAUUAGGAGUGGAAUGUUUAUAGAUCAUAUGUAGAUUUAUGUUUAUUUAUGAUGUACAAAUAAAUGCCGGUUCCAUGUGUUUUCUCAGUCCAGCUAUAAGGCAUUUUGCAGUAUUGUUUUAUAGUGAAUGUUUUUAAUCAUAUUGAGUAUAUAAAGAACCCAGCUUGUGUUACGGAGAGGAACUGGUCUGUAUUGACUUUACAGUGUGUGUUGUGAACUAGCUUGUGUUAUGGAGACGAACUGGUCUGUAUUGACUUCACAGUGUGUGUUGUAAACCAACUUGUGUUACGGAGAGGAACUGGUCAGUAUUGACUUCACAGUGUGUGUUAUACCCUUAGACCCUUCUUGAACUGUGUCUUUCGUCUCGUGUUGUCUUUCAUAGACAUACAUCUUAGAGAGUAUAAAACAAUGAAAUAAUUGUUGUAUGCAUGACCACAUAUACAUCAGGUCAUGUGUAUGUUGUCGCCUUCAAUGCUCAUAUUAAAACAUUUGAAUGCAA